ACGGUCCUAAGGUAGCGAAAUUCCUUGUCGGGUAAGUUCCGACCUGCACGAAUGGCAUAAUGAUGGCCACACUGUCUCCUCCCGAGACUCAGUGAAGUUGAAAUGUUUGUGAUGAUGCAAUCUCCCCGCGGCUAGACGGGAAGACCCCAUGAACCUUUACUGUAGCUUUGCAUUGGACUUUGAACCGAUUUGUGUAGGAUAGGCGGGAGGCAGAGAAAGCGCAACGCCAGUUGUGCCGGAGCCGACGUUGAAAUACCGCCCUGAUUUGUUUGAGGUUCUAACCGCGACCCGUGAGCCGGGUUCGGGACCGUGCAUGGCAGGCAGUUUGACUGGGGCGGUCUCCUCCUAAAGGGUAACGGAGGAGUACAAAGGUACGCUAGGUACGGUCGGAAAUCGUGCUGAUAGUGCAAAGGCAAAAGCGUGCUUGACUGCGAGACCGACAAGUCGAGCAGAUGCGAAAGCAGGUCUUAGUGAUCCGGUGGCUCUGAAUGGAAGGGCCAUCGCUCAACGGAUAAAAGGUACUCUGGGGAUAACAGGCUGAUACCGCCCAAGAGUUCAUAUCGACGGCGGUGUUUGGCACCUCGAUGUCGGCUCAUCUCAUCCUGGGGCUGUAGCCGGUCCCAAGGGUAUGGCUGUUCGCCAUUUAAAGAGGUACGUGAGCUGGGUUUAAAACGUCGUGAGACAGUUUGGUCCCUAUCUGCCGUGGGCGCUGGAAGAUUGACGGGGGCUGCUCCUAGUACGAGAGGACCGGAGUGGACGCACCUCUGGUGUACCGGUUGUCACGCCAGUGGCAUCGCCGGGUAGCUAUGUGCGGAAGAGAUAACCGCUGAAAGCAUCUAAGCGGGAAACUUGCCUGAAGAUAAGUCUUCCCGGAGGCUAGACCUCCCUGAAGAGUCGUUCGAGACCAGGACGUUGAUAGGUCGGGUGUGUAAGCGUUGUGAGACGUUUAGCUAACCGAUACUAAUUGCUCGUGAGGCUUGAUCCU
rnacentral:rRNA from 1 species